GGCUAACUACGUGCCAGCAGCCGCGGUAAUACGUAGGGGGCAAGCGUUGUCCGGAAUCACUGGGCGUAAAGGGAGCGUAGGCGGCUUUGUAAGUCAGAUGUUAAAGGCAUUGGCUCAACCAAUGUAAGCAUUUGAAACUACAAAGCUUGAGUACAGGAGAGGAGAGUGGAAUUCCUAGUGGAGCGGUGAAAUGCGUAGAUAUUAGGAGGAACACCAGUGGCGAAGGCGACUCUCUGGACUGUUACUGACGCUGAGGCUCGAAAGCGUGGGGAGCAAACAGGAUUAGAUACCCUUGUAGUC
rnacentral:rRNA from 1 species